CAGCCGCCGCGGUAAUACGAAGGGUGCAAGCGUUAAUCGGAAUUACUGGGCGUAAAGCGUGCGUAGGCGGUUUGUUAAGUCUGUUGUGAAAUCCCCGGGCUCAACCUGGGAAUGGCAAUGGAUACUGGCAAGCUAGAGUGUGUCAGAGGAUGGUGGAAUUCCCGGUGUAGAGGUGAAAUGCGUAGAGAUCGGGAGGAACAUCAGUGGCGAAGGCGGCCAUCUGGGACAACACUGACGCUGAGGCACGAAAGCGUGGGGAGCAAACAGGAUUAGAUACCCCUGUAGUCCCUGUCUCUUAUAC
rnacentral:rRNA from 1 species